rnacentral:tRNA from 1 species
GAGGGUAUAGCUCAGUGGUAGGGUACGUGCCCAGCACACAUGAGGCCCUGGGUUCAGUCCCCAGUACCUCCA